CCGUGGGUUGAAACCCACGGCUAAAUUCCGUUGCCGCUACGCGGCA
rnacentral:sRNA from 1 species